rnacentral:rRNA from 1 species
GACGAACGCUGGCGGCGUGCUUAACACAUGCAAGUCGAACGGAAAGGCCCUGCUUUUGUGGGGUGCUCGAGUGGCGAACGGGUGAGUAACACGUGAGUAACCUGCCCUUGACUUUGGGAUAACUUCAGGAAACUGGGGCUAAUACCGGAUAGGAGCUCCUGCUGCAUGGUGGGGGUUGGAAAGUUUCGGCGGUUGGGGAUGGACUCGCGGCUUAUCAGCUUGUUGGUGGGGUAGUGGCUUACCAAGGCUUUGACGGGUAGCCGGCCUGAGAGGGUGACCGGCCACAUUGGGACUGAGAUACGGCCCAGACUCCUACGGGAGGCAGCAGUGGGGAAUAUUGCGCAAUGGGCGGAAGCCUGAUGCAGCAACGCCGCGUGCGGGAUGACGGCCUUCGGGUUGUAAACCGCUUUCGCCUGUGACGAAGCGUGAGUGACGGUAAUGGGGAAAGAAGCACCGGCUAACUACGU